UGUCCAUAAAACUGAAAGUCUUGUCACUUUCUGACACGACAAGAGUCCAAUCGAGCCGCGAGUUCAUUCGUCAAAACUUCAUUAACCGACGGCAGCUUUUAAAUUUGUGCGGAGAGCAGAACACAAAACUUACGGGAGCAGCUCCGGUGGAAAAUUGACGGGAUUUAAAAAUGUCAGAUGACACGCAGCUCAAUUCUCAGUCACUGUUGCUCUGUCGUCUUCCCACUGUACCUGUGGUUUGGUUUCCUCUUCAUCUUUGUAGAAGUAGAGCUGGUCAGUUCGAAGCACAAACCAGCGCAGCUGCCAGUUCUUCAUGAUGCUGCGCUGUUUCUUAAGCCAGCCUGCUUUCAGCGCCCUGUCUUGGAGGCUGGGGGACGAUGGCCGGCUGGAGCCACGGGAGAGCUCCCCCAUGACCAUGCUCUUAGACCUGGCUGAAAAAUAGAAAAGUGAGGACUGUUCCCAACCGUUGUCUUUUAGAAGGCCCUUUGUGGUUGUACCGCCUAAAGUAUGUGGUGGUUCCCAUGGAAAUGGCAUGAAGCUGCUCAACUAGCAACCAUCCCACCCAGGUCAGAGAGAAG